rnacentral:lncRNA from 1 species
CCCUUCCUUCACCAUCCUCGCCUCCGCCGUGCUGCUGCACCAUCUCUCCUCCGCCUGCGACGCCGGAAACACUAUCCAAAUCCAAAACGUCGGCGUUUGAUUCCUUCCUGGAGACCGAGCCCUCGUCGUCGCUCUGGCGCUCUUCACCCUUCGCUUGGCACUCGGUACUCUGUUCUCGUCAAUCAGUGCUCGGUGGUCGGCUGUUGGCCUUUGGCGCUCGCCGCUCGGCCUAACUGAAGCAGAUCUGGUCCUGAGCCUCCUCCUAAGCGCCGGCGACGAAUGUAGCAAUGAUUUUUUCAAGUCACAAGGUGAAAAGGUGAGUGGACUUGAGGAAGGUGUGAGGAUUCUAAGUUGCAGCGUCGCUAGCCUUCGGCAAAUUGGGGUCCCGAACAACGUCGUUGAGGACGGUGAGCUUUGCUGGGCGACGGAGGAAGGCUGGUUGUUGCUUAGUCUCUAAGAGGUAUGACGGUCAGAGGAAGACUGGUUCUGAGUUGUAUCGUAAGGUUGGACGCCGGAGUCGACGCCAACGCCGAUCGGGAAGUGUUUAGGCGCUAGCUUUGGGUGCCCAGAGCAAUUUUUUGGUUUGGGCUUGGGUCCUUGACAACGGGCUGGAGGUUUGGAUGCCCUUAUGGCCUCACAGUAAUGUUUCAACAUUUUAUUAGGGUUAGUAACUAUUAUUGGGGUCAAUAACUGGAUUAUGUUCCGGUAUUUCUUCUUAUUCUAUUACUAUAAGCUGAAAUAAGUUGAUUAUUGGGGGUAAGUAACUGAUUAUUAGAGGUUAGUAACACGAUUAUUAGGGGUCAGUAACUGAUUACUGGGGGUCAGUAACUGAUUACUGGGGGUCAGUAACUGGUUACUGGGUGUUAGUAACUAAUCAGUAACUGGUUACUGGGGGUCAAUAAUUGGUUACUGGGGGUCAGUAACUGGUUACUGGGUGUCAGUAACUGAUCAAUAACUGGUUACUAGGUGUCAGUAACUGGUUACAGGAGAAAUUUUGGUGACCGGAGUCCCGCGGCCGGUGACCGGAGUCCGACGGCAGGUGACCGGAGUCCGACGGCCGGUUACUAGAGUCCGGUGAGAUUCUGGCCAAGUAUUCUCUCUUUCAUUUUCUCUCUAUGCAUGUUUAAGGGGUGAGGGUAAAAUAGUCUUAAAAUAAUAUGAUUUGUUAAGACUUUAGUAAAGAUUUGUGCAUUUGGGCAUAAAUAUUUGUGUAUUUGGGCAUAAAAAAACUUACUUUAUAUUGAAAUGGGCUAAUGAAAAAGAUUAUCAUUGGAAUGAGAAAUAAAGGAUUUAAAUUAAUACUAAAUGAGUAUUUUCCCUUCUAUAAUAUUUGUUUAUUCAGUAAAGAAUGUUGAAAGUAACGAGAUAUCAUGCCUAAUUGGGUUUUCAACUAUUAGAUCCCUCUUGCUAUUGAUCUUCUCAUCACAUUUGGACAUUUGAAUCGGUUCCGAUUCAUAGAAGACUUUCCCUGAACAUAGAUCAGAACUUGUUGUCCAUGCUGUCACAUGUUAGUUAAAUUUAUGUAGCAUAUACACCUUGAUUGGUUUUCCACACUAAGUAGAUUUUAAGCCUAUAAUCACGGUUCAUCUCACAGAGAUCAUUAUCCAAGUUUUGAAGAUUGUAUUUUUUUUUUUUUUUUUUUUUGAAAGUUUGAAGAUUGAUUAUUUGCUUCAGGGGUGAUGGAUCCAGCUGUAUAAUACCACAAUUGUUUAUAAAGAUUCAACUUUGGAAUCCAUUUAUCCAAUUUUGGUUGCAGGAAGCUGUGUCCUGAUUUGCAGAGAGGAAGGAGAGAGUGAGGUACUGGGACACGGCUAAGUAAACCACAUCAGAAAGAAUCAUGAAACAAACAGAAAACCGAAAAGGGUCGACAUCAACUCCCACACAUAUAUGUCAACUCCCCACCACAUGAGACGAUCUGCAGACCAAUCUUAGAAGACCAAGUUGUUCUGCUCAUGUCCAAGCAUCCAAUCAAGCCAAGUAGCAAAACGAGUGGAACCCUCAUUUUCAAUUGUAUUUUCAUUGUGUCAUCGGAAAAGAAAUUGUAUUUUCUUCCAUUCCCACAUAGGACAAUCAUGCAUAUAUAGAUAGAAAAGGGGUUAAAAAUGGGGGGUUUCGCAGAACAGGUAGUAUCUAUAUGUGUAGGACUAUUUCAACGAGCUAGGUGAUGAUUGCUCUGUGCUGUGUUCUUCAGUUUCAAUAUUGGUAUUGGGAAGCCGGUGUGCCACUAAUCUAUUCUAUUAAUCUAUGGUGAUCAUUUUCCAGCUAGUUCAUGAACAUGUCAAAAGAUUGGACUAAGCAUCCUAUAUGUGCUCGACAUUUUUAUGCAACAAUGUGGAUACGUAUCCUCCCUUAGGUUGCCAAAUGGACCUGUAACAAUAUACAGAAUAAGCUUAACUAUCUACUUAUUUUCUUUGCAAGCAUAUAUUGUAGUUUAUAUUUGUAAGGUUUAAGGUUGAGCAGUCUUAGGUUUUAGACGUACGUAUGUAUCGAUCUGGGGUUGAGUAAUAGUUGUAUAUAUACAGGCAUAUAGCUUUCUUUUCCUUCCUAUCAUUUCUACAGAUCGCCUUUCUUCUUCUUCUUCUUCUUCUUCUUCUUCUUCUUCUUCUCGGUGAGCAUAUGUACGGCCUUUUACAAUAAGGAUC